AUGAGCCACUCUUAACUCAAGUCUCUCAGAAACAGACACAUAAUGCACAUAAAAAGGGACCCUUCUCUAAUUAAUUCAUAGAAAAACCUUUCUUUGAAUUAAUUCACAUAUACUUUAGGGCAUUGUGUAUACGGUUACUAUUCUCGUAUAUUGUCUUUUGUGUAUUGUAUAUGUUUUAUACAUGCUUAUGAUGGAUCACUAGUUAAUAUAACCUCAUCUAUAUGAUGUUUGUUAUCUAUGAGUUCGUAUUUUCAUGAUCUAAAUGAGAGUGUAUAUUAUAUGUUGAUGCCUAUACAACACUGAUGUAGAUCUGCUGAACAUCAAACUGUACCAUAGCUCCAUGUCUUUAUUUCUUUUCUUUUUACUGCUUAAGCUUUAA